rnacentral:rRNA from 1 species
GAUGAACGCUGGCGGCGUGCUUAACACAUGCAAGUCGAACGGUGAACACGGAGCUUGCUCUGUGGGAUCAGUGGCGAACGGGUGAGUAACACGUGAGCAACCUGCCCCUGACUCUGGGAUAAGCGCUGGAAACGGCGUCUAAUACUGGAUAUGUGACGUGACCGCAUGGUCUGCGUUUGGAAAGAUUUUUCGGUUGGGGAUGGGCUCGCGGCCUAUCAGCUUGUUGGUGGGGUAAUGGCUCACCAAGGCGUCGACGGGUAGCCGGCCUGAGAGGGUGACCGGCCACACUGGGACUGAGACACGGCCCAGACUCCUACGGGAGGCAGCAGUGGGGAAUAUUGCACAAUGGGCGCAAGCCUGAUGCAGCAACGCCGCGUGAGGGAUGACGGCCUUCGGGUUGUAAACCUCUUUUAGCAGGGAAGAAGCGAAAGUGACGGUACCUGCAGAAAAAGCGCCGGCUAACUACGUG